UGGGGAAUAUUGCACAAUGGGCGAAAGCCUGAUGCAGCAACGCCGCGUGAGUGAUGAAGGUCUUCGGAUUGUAAAGCUCUGUCUUUUGGGACGAUAAUGACGGUACCAAAGGAGGAAGCCACGGCUAACUACGUGCCAGCAGCCGCGGUAAUACGUAGGUGGCGAGCGUUGUCCGGAUUUACUGGGCGUAAAGGGUGCGUAGGCGGAUGUUUAAGUGAGAUGUGAAAUACCCGGGCCUAACUUGGGUGCUGCAUUUCAAACUGGAUAUCUAGAGUGCAGGAGAGGAGAAUGGAAUUCCUAGUGUAGCGGUGAAAUGCGUAGAGAUUAGGAAGAACACCAGUGGCGAAGGCGAUUCUCUGGACUGUAACUGACGCUGAGGCACGAAAGCGUGGGUAGCAAACAGGAUUAGAUACCCUGGUAGUCCACGCCGUAAACGAUGAGUACUAGGUGUAGGAGGUAUCGACCCCUUCUGUGCCGCAGUAAACACAUUAAGUACUCCGCCUGGGAAGUACGAUCGCAAGAUUAAAAC
rnacentral:rRNA from 1 species